rnacentral:rRNA from 1 species
CUACGGGUUGCACCAGUGAGGAAUAUUGCACAAUGGGGGAAACCCUGAUGCAGCAACGCCGCGUGGAGGAUGACGCAUUUCGGUGUGUAAACUCCUUUUAUAUGUCAAGAAAAUGACGGUAGCAUAUGAAUAAGCACCGGCUAACUCCGUGCCAGCAGCCGCGGUAAUACGGAGGGUGCAAGCGUUAUUCGGAAUCACUGGGCGUAAAGGACGCGUAGGCGGGUUAUCAAGUCAGGUGUGAAAUCCUACAGCUUAACUGUAGAACUGCACUUGAAACUGGUAGCCUAGAGUAUGGGAGGGGCAGAUGGAAUUAGUGGUGUAGGGGUAAAAUCCGUAGAUAUCACUAGGAAUACCGAAAGCGAAGGCGAUCUGCUGGAACAUUACUGACGCUAAGGCGUGAAAGCGUGGGGAGCAGACAGGAUUAGAUACCCUCGUAGUC